UCAUUUUGUCCAAAAUUCUCAACUCUCUGAACUCCACUCUACUGAAAACUCCACCUUCGAAAACACUUUGCUGAAAACUCGAGAUCUCCUGCGACGACAAGCCCGCGCGACAGAUCUUUUGCAUCGCUGUACCGGAACCCUAAUCUCGGAUUUAGCCGCGGUGGUGCAUUUCGAUCAAGAAAAAACCCUAGUUUCAAUCAACCAGAAAACUCAACCAUCGAUCAGCUGCUAGAACCGCUCUCACUCACGCUACUUAUCGAUUUGGGAGUUUUGCGGUUUGGGAAUAUCGAUUUGGUGGUUAUCCUGGUCAGAGAACAAUGGAGCCAUAAAUGUUCCUAUACGGAAAACCAUUCAAGCUUUUCUCGUUUAUUUUCAUAAUCAAAUAAUUUCAUGUUGAAGUGUUUAUGAUAAUUAUAUGUUCAAGGGUUUUCUGUAAUCGAAUUAAGAUUUGGUGGAUAUGGGUUUUAAGGGAGUACUUAAGGUCGAUGAAUGUGUUCCCAAUCCUUCGCCUGUUUCAGAUCAGAGCUCUCCAAUGAAGGGAUAGCAGAAGAUUUGAGACAUCAAAUGGUAAAGCUUGUUAUACAAAGUCAAGAAAAAGAAAAGGAAUGAAGGAUGAUGAAGAUCCUUCCGAAUUUCCAUCUAUUCCAGAGGAACCCCCUUAUGAAAGAUGAUCCUCAUAAAUCAAAGCUUAGAUCAUGCAAAGGAAAAGAAGUGAAGGCAAAUACUCUUGCUAUUAAGGUGAUUUUCCCAUAGUGAAAAUUCUAUGCAAACUUUGAAGGCAAGUGAUUGGCAUCUUGAAGGAGCUGAGAGCAUUUAAUAUAUUCUACAGCCAAGUCACAAGAGAAGAAAAAACAAAUGUCCAAGCUCUAGAGUACAUUGCAAAUUAUUUGCUAGUCAGCUUCAAUAGUUAGGUCUCAUGGAACAAUUAAUGACUAUUUUAGAUGUAUUAUUUGAUGGUUGUAAUGACAUUGGAGUUUCCACAAUGAAUGGGAACAUCAAUGAAUGACAAUAGAAGACUUAUGUGUCAUCUAAAAUACAAGACAACAACAAACUCAAAAAACAAUAUGUUGUUGGAACAAUUGAAAAACAAUAGAAUAGAAGAAAAAAUUUAUUGCUCUAUAUAUAUUCAGACUACAUAUUAAAUGCAAGUUUAACCGCAAAUAAAUGUCUUUUGCUAUGAGUUAAAAUGACAGAUAAUUGAAAUUGAAACUUAUUUACAACGACAAUAAAUUAUAGUUGAGACCCAAUACUAACAACAAAUAAUUCUCAAUACUGUUAUUGAGAUGAGAAUUAAACCAAAUAAGUUAAAGAACUUUGUUGUUGGUCUUCAUGUUUGCCCACAGUUUUCUGUCUUCUGAAAUCUUGAUAACACACACCUGUACUUGUGAGGAAUCAAUCAGACAACAGAAGACCGAAAACAUUUUUGUUGUGUGAAUGUAAUCAGACAACAGAAUUUAUACGUUGUCUAAUUGCACAAGAGAAGGCAGAGCCUCAGACGACAAAAAUUUGUGCAAUCAGACGACGCAGAUUAUCUGUCGUCUGAUUGACUUAUUGGCAUAGUGUCGGCGACACUUAGUUUCACCCUGCCACUAGGUGGCAACGAUAAUUUGACCAUACAAGGAAUUCACUACCAACCCAGAGAGACGCUACUGCUAGUAGAAGGUCGCGGCCAUUUUCCCGUGCAAGAAACUCGCCGCCUACCUAGAGCAGAUAAAGUACACAAGAUGCAUAAACUGGGACCAACCUCAUUGCGUCCUACCAAAUAUUGGUAGCAACUUAUUAACUCAACCACUACCAAGUAAACAUAAAAAUAAUUAAAAACUUUAAUAUAAAAAAAAAACCCAAUGGGCCUACAGAAAUACUCCAAGCCCAAGAAACACCAGGCCCACCUUUGGAUUAAGGCCGCAAGAGCUCAAACCUUGGACCCAACCCAAAAUGAAUGUUGCACAGGUAACCCCACUACCAUUAUAGUACCCCUAAGACCAUCUCGCCGCCCUCGCCUUCGAACUCUGACAACCGUCGGUAGAGCACCAACAAAUCACCUCUCCGCAAAUCCUCGCGAGCCCAGACUGGAGAGCAAACCCAGCACGGGUAACUCCCACCGCCGCUCUCUGCUGCGCGAUUCCAAACCAAGCCACACCCAAUCUCCACUGGAUUUUCAACAAGAUCUGAAUGUAUCUAAUCCCAUACCAGAAAUCUAGAUUAGGUUCGCACCUAGCCAUACUGCCGCUUACCACCAUCUGCCACAAAUCCACUACAUGUGCAAAGAUCAUCCCAACCCCAAUCUCCAAUUGCCUACUUGGGGGCCCAUUCUAAGGCCCUGAAUGACAUUAUUGCUCAAAGCUUGUGAG